rnacentral:sRNA from 5 species
UAUCUCUCUGUACGGGGAAGGAUGAGAAGCUUCGACUAAGGUUCGAUUCGAGCGAAAGCGAGAAAGCGUUGCCAACGGCAACGACCCGAAGGGCGAAGCGCGCAGCGCUGAGUAAUCCUUCCCCCACCACCA